GGAGCACCGUAUCCUGAAGGAGAAGUGGAGGCAGCGAAAGCAAAGUAGGAGAGGAGUCUAUGUUACCUCCAUCAACAAGCCAUUCCAUUUAAAAAAAUCAGCGGUGUCUACAGCCCCAGGGACAACCAGCACACAUACUGACAGACAAACACCAUCAGUGGCAGCACAGGACCCAAAGACAGACAGACAAGACAAAGAUGCUUUGGAGGGAGGAAACUGCAAAGAGCACAAAGACAAAAGUCCCAUGGAGCACUUUGGAGGCAUCACUCACCAAAGGAAGUUAUCCCAGCCAGUAAAUUGGUGAAAGAAGUAGUGAUCAAACAAGGACAAAUGUUAAGCAUCCUGCACCCACAAACUUGGCUCAGCAGCGAUGAAGUGGAUGCAGCUUCUUUUUACAUUUCUCAGACAUUCCCUCAUAUAGAUGGGUUUCAGUCCAGCCACAUCAGAGUUUUCACCAAGGGGGUGUGGUUGGGACACCACAGAAUCCAUUUGUGCAAGUGUUGAACAUAAAUGACAACCACUGGAUCACAGCAAGCAACCUUUUUUGUGGACCCAAUGAGAUUUGCAUAUAUGACAGCAUGAACACAAACAUCACCAAGCAGACAAAGCAAAAAUGAUCCUGGUUGAUUCAUCCACAAGCACCCCAGUUUGGGAUCAGAACGCCUGCGGUACAAAUGCAGCAGUCUUCUAGCAGUUGCGGGUUGUUUGCGUUGGCCUUUGCAACUGUGUUGUGCAAGGGAGUGAAACCAGAGCAAUGCGAGUUCCAAGAAAGAACCAUGAGACAAACCUUAUACAGAGCUCUGAAAAGAAAACAGGCUCCAGUGUUCAUUUACAAAUCUAAACAAGCAAAACCUGAAAGGGCCACACUUCAGGUGGAGGUUCACUGCAUCUGCAGUACCUCCCACAACCAGGAGGUGAUGGUGCAGCGCAGCAGCUGCAAUCACUGGUUUCACCCCAAUUGUGUGUUUGUCCCACACAAUGCAUUGGACACCACCACAGAAGAGUGGAACUGUGAAAUCUGCAAUUAAAUAGUAAUUGUACUUUGGAUGCAGCAUAAAAAUAAAUGUCAAAUUAGUACAUUGACAGAUGUCAGGGAUCUAUGAGAGAGGACUCAAACGCAGGAUGAGUGUAACAGGUUUAUUGACAAGACAAGGCAUUAGACAAGAUAUUGAGGUGAGGAGGUGGGGGAGGGCUUCGAGCUCAGAAUUUUGGCUCGAACCCAGAGUACUACCCCCAGUUGUGGUAAAAAUAGAUAGAACUAGAAGUGAGGAGGGGUGGUGGAGGGAUGCUGAUAAACUGUCAAUGAACAGAGGUAAGUCUGCUGUAUUUAUACCUCUUGUCGUUGGUUGAGUUGAUUAACUGAAUGCUCUCCACAUGUGCUAAUUAGUUUAAUUAUCUGAACCUGCUCCUCCCAAACUUUGUAAUUUGGAGUUUGACAGACAGACUUUUUUUUAUUCAGACAGGUGUUUUUUAUUAUAAACAGGUGAGUGCUAAAAUCAAUGUAGAUUGAUGGCACUUAGCUUGAGCAUUAACAGUUCUUGGUUUGUUGCAGGUGCUGACGUCCAUGUGGUGCUGGCUUGGAGAAGACUGAAGACCAUACCACACCACAAUUAUGCAGAGUUUGAUGGACACUGGUGGAGAACAUUCCAACGAUCCAUUUGCAGACCUCGUUCAGGCAGUUUGUCACUCAUUCACCCGCUGCUUCUUCAAGCUCCACUGAGUUUCUGUCAGCCUCUCCUCCGGCUAUCAUCUGCAAACCAACGGCCAGACUGAGGGUAAGAUCCAAGAGAUCAGGAGGUACCUGCGGUCAUACUGCCACCAGAACCAAGACAGCUUAAGCCGAUUCCUCCCCUGGGCAGAGUACGCCCAGAACUCCCUCAGACAAUCCACCACCGGACUCACAGCAUUCCAGUGCAUCCUUGGAUAACAGCCUCCUCUGUUCCCCUGGUCUGGCGAACCAUUAAUGGUUCCAGCUGUCAAUCAUUGGUUCCAGCAGAGCAAGAGGGAGUGGGACUCAGCAGACGUGCAUCUCUAACAGGCAGUGCAGAGACACAAGACAAUCUGACACUCCCAGCAGAACAUCGACUCCACAGUACCAACCAGGUCAGAAGGUGUGGCUCUCUACACGGGACAUCUGUCUCUGCUUGCCUUGCCGUAAGCUGAGUCCCUGUUAUGUAGGUCCCUUCAAUGUGCAGAGGCAGAUCAACGAGGUCACAUACAGGAUCUGGUGGUGAUGAGAUACCUCCUCCUCCUGAAAUGGCUGACGACGAGGUCAUCUACCGGGUCCACUCCAUCAUGGACUCGCGGCGACGGGGCAAUCGAAUCAAAUACCUCAUUGACUGGUAAGGUUACAGCCCUGAAGAACAAUCCAGGGUUGCUCGUGAUGAUGUGCUCGAUCCAUCUCUUUUCACCCAAUUCCAUUCUGAUCAUUCGAAUCGUCCAGCACCAAGAUGUAGAGGCAGCCCCCAUCAUUGCACCAUCUGGACGUCAGGAGCCGCCCGUUGAGGAGGGGGUACUGUCAUGGCGUCGCAACCAUCUCAGACACCUUUCUGCCCAUCGUCACCAGACCAGCACGUUCUGCCAACUUAUUCACUCUCCCCAGCAUUCUGAUUCACUACACCUGUACUCCCUUAUCAACGCACCCCAUAUAUUCCAUCACAUCCUGCACUCCUUUGUCUGGUCUUGUCAUUCCCAUGUGAACAGACUCCUUUCCUGCUACUCACCUGUGUACUUACCUGCCACCAAGGAUCCUGUGUUCUGUCGUCUGCUACCAGCCCAUCGAGUGUACCUACCAGUCCUCCUCCUGCAUCUGCCAAAAAGACAUUCAUACUACAUUCCAAAAUUUGAUUUCAUAUUUUUAUGAAUUUUUAAAUCGUGUCUGUAUAGCAACAUAAACCAUAUUUGUCAUAACUUUGGCAUGUAAUUAUUAAAGAAUAAAACAGUUAAAGAACAUGAAAAUCACCACAGUUGUACUCGGGGAGAUGUAGAACAGGAAUCAGGUGGAGUUUGCAGAAAACAAUUUGAUUUCAUAUUUUUAUGAAUUUUUAAAAUUGGUCUCUAUAGCAACGUAAACUGUAUUUGUCAUAACUUUGGCAUACAAUUAUUAAAGAAUAAAACAGUAAAAGAACAUGAAAAUCACCACA